UACAGAGGUGGCGAGCGUUGUUCGGAAUUACUGGGCGUAAAGGGCGCGUAGGCGGCCUUGUAAGUCCUGUGUGAAAUCCCCUGGCUCAACUAGGGAAUUGCACGGGAGACUGCUUGGCUUGAGUUCGGGAGAGGGAAGCGGAAUUCCGGGUGUAGCGGUGAAAUGCGUAGAUAUCCGGAGGAACACCGGUGGCGAAGGCGGCUUCCUGGACCGACACUGACGCUGAGGCGCGAAAGCUAGGGGAGCAAACGGG
rnacentral:rRNA from 1 species